rnacentral:rRNA from 1 species
GACGAACGCUGGCGGCGUGCUUAACACAUACAAGUCGAACGAUGAAGCCGGAGCUUGCUCCGGUGGAUUAGUGGCGAACGGGUGAGUAACACGUGAGCAAUCUGCCCUUGACUCUGGGAUAACUGCGGGAAACUGUAGCUAAUACCGGAUACGACACCUUGGGGCAUCCCAGGGUGUGGAAAGAAUUUCGGUCAAGGAUGAGCUCGCGGCCUAUCAGCUAGUUGGUGAGGUAAUGGCUCACUAAGGCGACGACGGGUAGCCGGCCUGAGAGGGUGACCGGCCACACUGGAACUGAGACACGGUCCAGACUCCUACGGGAGGCAGCAGUGGGGAAUAUUGCACAAUGGGCGAAAGCCUGAUGCAGCAACGCCGCGUGAGGGAUGAAGGCCUUCGGGUUGUAAACCUCUUUUAGCAGGGAAGAAGCGAAAGUGACGGUACCUGCAGAAAAAGCACCGGCUAACUACGUGCCAGCAGCCGCCGUAA